AACAUCAAUGCUUAAUUGCAAGUCAAUGUUGUAAUUCUUGAGAAGAAGUCAUGGAAGCUUAUAAGAAGAAAGGAUGGGCUCUAACAAAUCCUUUACCUAAUUUACCAGGUAUAUCAACUAUUUUACCUAGAUUUAUUCAGGAAAGUUUACAUUUAGCCUUUCUUUGGGAGAAUCUUACUUUUUAACUUAUGGUGCACAAUUAGUCCACUUCUUUUGAGAACAAGGAGGUUCAUCAUGAACCAAUUGUUCACAAUAUCCGAAAUUGUUUGGAAGUUAACUACUAACUACAAUGAAACCGUUUUUUAUGAAACAAUUAUUAUUUUGUCACCACUUGCAAUACAGAAGACAAAACUCAUGAAAUUUGAUAAAUGUAAUCCUCACAUUUGAACCAUAGUAGUGCAGUGCAGUACCACAGGAAUAGUUUCAUUCAUUAUCUGCAAAGUCAUCCCUUAUAGUUGUCAAUGAACUAUCAUGUGAAGACAGAAUAAGAACUUUGUGAUUCUCACAUUUGCGAAUGCUUGUUUAUUUAUGUGUCUGAAUAAAAGCGUUACUAUAAAAUAUUUGACCUAUUUUGGAAAUUUUAUUUAUUGUGUAAUCAUGGCCUAGAUGUUUUGAUUAUUGAUUAGCAGAUUUUAUAUGCAUUAUUCUGAGUUUGUAGACAACAGACAUGGGUGUCUUUUGAUAUUAAUUGUCAGGUCAAAGGUCAGUUUUGUGGAAAAUAUACAAUAUGUUAAUAUCUUCAAUAGUACAAGAUCAUGUACUACAUGUCAAUGUUAAUAUCGACUAAUUUCUUGAUUAUUUUCAAUAGGAUGGAAGAGUGUCGAAUGCUUUUUCAGAUACUAUUUCUUGGUCCGUCAAAUUUAUUUGAGCUAAAUGCAAGUUUUUGCUCAAAUGUGGCAAAAAUGAUUGCCUCACCAAUUGUGAGCACGACUGCCUCCAACAAAGUUAGAAUGAAAAGAUGGAAUAGAACUUUGGUGGCCGCACAUGUGUGGAGACUAGAAUUCAUAUAUACUUAGUUAGGCUCAACGUUAACGCAAACACUUGUUGACCAAAAUUUUCAAUUAGUACUUUAGUUUGAAUUUAGAUUACACUUUUGUAUGAGUUAUUUGACAAUGCUUAUUUAUGAGAUAUUGAAUGAUA